GUAAAUUUGUAAACAUUUCAACAAAAUCAUGUUUCCAUGACUUUAUCAUGGGUUUACUUCUGCUAAAAGCAGAAAACUCUGUUUUUAUUAUUUUUUAUCUUAUUUUUUUAAUUUUCGUUCCGAAUUUAUCUCUAUGGCAAUUCUAGUGCCGCAGAUCGACAGAUCUCAGAGUUGUGCCUUGUCACGCGCGAAGUGGCAGAAGAAAGUUGCAUUCAAGCGUUUUCAUUCGGCGCACAACCACUCGUAAUCCUCGCUCGUAAUACUCGCAAUUCGGUCGGCCGGUGGCAAUUCGGCCUGUAAAAUGUACGCCCCGUCGUUUAUCACGCCGCUAUUCUUCCGUCCCGUUUUCCUCCGACCUCCCCCUACCCCUUUUUUCCAUAAAUCCGCGCUAUAAUUUCGAGUUUACAGUAAUGCGCGUCCUCGCGCGCGGCGCGAAGGAAGAUGUAAUCGUUUAUUAUCUCGGCGACGACGAGAAUCCGCGGAUUGGAAUUUUUGCGCGGAUGCAAAAGGAAAGGUGCCAGGAUCGUAGGGGGAUGGGGAAGGAUCCCGGUGGAAGAAGAGUUACGCGGGUCAUUUACCGUUUGUAUUAAAGUAGAUCGGUCGGACAAGAGCGCCUUUGUCUCGCGAAAUGACGCGGUUCUUUGCGGCUUGCAGACACGUAAUUCGACCAUUGUGCGGCAAUUGCGUGGAAUUACGAUCGCGUAGCGAUCUAGCAGUACAAUUACGCCAAGUACCCAUGUAUAUUCGUUGGAGUAUACCUUCAUACAAACAUACGCGAGUGGGGUACGGAUCAUAAAGUGGUUCUCCGAUUUAAAUUGCGAAUUUUAUCGAGACACUUUCGAGAGAAUUAGCGGUCUGUCAGUUACACCGAAACUCUGAAAAUCGAGUGCUAACUGCCGGGAAGGCAGUUUUCGUACGACAGAAACAGAGCCGGGACAUAAAGGGUUUUCCUCGACAGUAUUUCAGCGUGGUUCAAAAGUGAUUACGAAAGGCCUCGAAGAAAAUCAUCCUCCCGCUGAUUGGAAACGUUGAAAGGAAACUGUGCCAAACUGUAAUUCACUGACCGGAACGUGCGCUUUUAUAAAAGAACUUUAGAUGAAAUGGCGUGAUCCUUUUAGAUCUUCUUACAUUCUUCGGUAAGCACGAGUACUUAUUAGACUCGAUUAUUUCUCGAUACCAUUUUUAUUUUCCAGAUACCUGCGAAGAGAGAGGAAGGUCCGGGAUGUCGAUCGCAUAGGAUUGUUUUUAUUAAGAAUUUUAUCAUUGAUUAAUUGCAAUAUAAUUAACAGUAUUAUCUCAUAGUGCCGCCUCUCUUUAACGCGUUGUCGUAUUUUUUACACACUUGUUGAAUUCUAUGCAAAUAUUUAUAUUCCGUUAGUUACAGUUACUUUGAGCUUCAUUAAUUUAAUUUAAUUAGCAACGCGCGGACAUUUUAGAUAAUUAAAUAUAUAAAUACCUACUUCUUUCAACUGUAAACUGUUUUUCGAGAUUAACAGGAUUGAAGCUAUAUUAUGAAAUAGUGAUGCGAACAGCUGCGAACACUGUCAUAAUUUUCCAGUCUUUUGUUUAAUCGCGAAUUGCUGCGACGUGUCACAUAAUCGUUGAAUAUAUUGGGCCGCGAUUAUGCGAUAUAUUAAUUAUAUCAUUGAAUAUAUUGGGCGCCUAUGAAAUCAGUAGUGCGAAAGGCAAACUCUAUAAAGACAAAUUACAAA